AUGGAGGUGGGCGGUGUGCUCAACUCGCUCCUUUUCAAAGUAUGCGUGGUCUUCACCCUCGGCAUGUUCUCCCCCGGCCCACCCUAUUACUACUCGGACCUCAGGUACCUUUGGACGACCUGGAGCAUGGACAAUGUCCAGUUGCUGCCCUUUCUCACCACCGAAGUCAGCAACCUGAGCUGGCCGAGUUAUGGGGCCUCGAAGGGAGACGGGAUCCUCUUUGUGGUCAAUGUGGUGGUUGCUGCACUUCACGCCCUGUAUAUCUUGGUGUACUUGCACUCAGAAGCAUGUUGUGCUCCUACAGACUGCAGUGCCGUUAGGGGUCCUUCUCUAGGGUCAUGGCUACUUUUGGCUCCUGUGCCCGAUCCUGAGGCCCGCCUUCAGCAGCUGGGUCUCUUCUGCAGUGUCUUCACCAUCAGCACGUACCUCUCACCACUGGCUGACUUGGCCAAGGUCGUUCAGACAAAACCCAACCAGUGUCUCUCCUUCUCACUCACCAUGGCCACACCCUUCUGCCUCCUGGACCCUCUGUGGCUUAUGACUGAGAGAUCCCUACAUCAUGUUCUUGUGAUUUCAGGUGCCCAACUCUCCAGCCAUCGUCACAAGUUUAUCUGCCUCUGGCUUUUCUGGAAGUGGCCCCAGGAGCAAGACAGGAAUUGUCAGCUCCUGCAAACCAGAAGCAGCUCACCUGACCACUAGGCACCUUAAUGCCAACUUGAUGCCAAAGAGAACUCCUUGUUUCAGCUGGUCCCACUGGCCAGCUCCCCAGGCGCAGUGGGUUGUGGGAACAAGAGAUGACUUGGGAGAACAGAGGGACCAAAGAAAGAGCUUUACUUAGAUGAUUGGGUGGAACCUAGGAGAUGAAAUCACUUUUAGUUUUUAGAGAUUUUUAAAAUUUUGGGUGUUGGGGUGAUAUCUUUA